UACAGAGGGGGCAAGCGUUGUUCGGAAUUACUGGGCGUAAAGGGCGCGUAGGCGGCCUGCUAAGUCGAACGUGAAAUCCCUGGGCUCAACCCAGGAACUGCGUCCGAUACUGGUUGGCUUGAAUUCGGGAGAGGGAUGUGGAAUUCCAGGUGUAGCGGUGAAAUGCGUAGAUAUUGGGAGGAACACCAGUGGCGAAGGCGGCUACCUGGACCGGUUCUGACGCUGAUGCGCGAAAGCGUGGGUAGCAAACAGG
rnacentral:rRNA from 1 species